rnacentral:rRNA from 1 species
UUAAGCGACUAAGCGUACACGGUGGAUGCCCUGGCAGUCAGAGGCGAUGAAGGACGUGCUAAUCUGCGAAAAGCGUCGGUAAGGUGAUAUGAACCGUUAUAGCCGGCGAUGUCCGAAUGGGGAAACCCAGUGUGAUUCGUCACACUAUCGUUAACUGAAUACAUAGGUUAACGAGGCGAACCGGGGGAACUGAAACAUCUAAGUACCCCGAGGAAAAGAAAUCAACCGAGAUUCCCCCAGUAGCGGCGAGCGAACGGGGAGCAGCCCAGAGUCUGAAUCAGCUUGUGUGUUAGUGGAACGGUCUGGAAAGUCCGACGGUACAGGGUGAUAGUCCCGUACACCAAAAUGCACAGGUUGUGAACUCGAAGAGUAGGGCGGGACACGUGGUAUCCUGUCUGAAUAUGGGGGGACCAUCCUCCAAGGCUAAAUACUCCUGACUGACCGAUAGUGAACCAGUACCGUGAGGGAAAGGCGAAAAGAACCCCGGCGAGGGGAGUGAAAAAGAACCUGAAACCGUGUACGUACAAGCAGUGGGAGCACCUUCGGGUGUGACUGCGUACCUUUUGUAUAAUGGGUCAGCGACUUAUAUUCUGUAGCAAGGUUAACCGUAUAGGGGAGCCGCAGGGAAACCGAGUCUUAACUGGGCGUUAAGUUGCAGGGUAUAGACCCGAAACCCGGUGAUCUAGCCAUGGGCAGGUUGAAGGUUGGGUAACACUAACUGGAGGACCGAACCGACUAAUGUUGAAAAAUUAGCGGAUGACUUGUGGCUGGGGGUGAAAGGCCAAUCAAACCGGGAGAUAGCUGGUUCUCCCCGAAAGCUAUUUAGGUAGCGCCUCGUGAACUCAUCUUCGGGGGUAGAGCACUGUUUCGGCUAGGGGGUCAUCCCGACUUACCAACCCGAUGCAAACUACGAAUACCGAAGAAUGUUAUCACGGGAGACACACGGCGGGUGCUAACGUCCGUCGUGAAGAGGGAAACAACCCAGACCGCCAGCUAAGGUCCCAAAGUCAUGGUUAAGUGGGAAACGAUGUGGGAAGGCACAGACAGCCAGGAUGUUGGCUUAGAAGCAGCCAUCAUUUAAAGAAAGCGUAAUAGCUCACUGGUCGAGUCGGCCUGCGCGGAAGAUGUAACGGGGCUAAACCAUGCACCGAAGCUGCGGCAGCGACACUAUGUGUUGUUGGGUAGGGGAGCGUUCUGUAAGCCUGCGAAGGUGACCUGUGAGGGUUGCUGGAGGUAUCAGAAGUGCGAAUGCUGACAUAAGUAACGAUAAAGCGGGUGAAAAGCCCGCUCGCCGGAAGACCAAGGGUUCCUGUCCAACGUUAAUCGGGGCAGGGUGAGUCGACCCCUAAGGCGAGGCCGAAAGGCGUAGUCGAUGGGAAACAGGUUAAUAUUCCUGUACUUGGUGUUACUGCGAAGGGGGGACGGAGAAGGCUAUGUUAGCCGGGCGACGGUUGUCCCGGUUUAAGCAUGUAGGCUGGUUGUCCAGGCAAAUCCGGAUAAUCAAGGCUGAGGUGUGAUGACGAGGCACUACGGUGCUGAAGUAACAAAUGCCCUGCUUCCAGGAAAAGCCUCUAAGCAUCAGGUAACAUUAAAUCGUACCCCAAACCGACACAGGUGGUCAGGUAGAGAAUACCAAGGCGCUUGAGAGAACUCGGGUGAAGGAACUAGGCAAAAUGGUGCCGUAACUUCGGGAGAAGGCACGCUGGUGUGUAGGUGAAGUCCCUGCGGAUGGAGCUGAGACCAGUCGAAGAUACCAGCUGGCUGCAACUGUUUAUUAAAAACACAGCACUGUGCAAACACGAAAGUGGACGUAUACGGUGUGACGCCUGCCCGGUGCCGGAAGGUUAAUUGAUGGGGUUAUCCGUAAGGAGAAGCUCUUGAUCGAAGCCCCGGUAAACGGCGGCCGUAACUAUAACGGUCCUAAGGUAGCGAAAUUCCUUGUCGGGUAAGUUCCGACCUGCACGAAUGGCGUAAUGAUGGCCAGGCUGUCUCCACCCGAGACUCAGUGAAAUUGAACUCGCUGUGAAGAUGCAGUGUACCCGCGGCAAGACGGAAAGACCCCGUGAACCUUUACUAUAGCUUGACACUGAACAUUGAGCCUUGAUGUGUAGGAUAGGUGGGAGGCUUUGAAGCGUGGACGCCAGUCUGCGUGGAGCCAACCUUGAAAUACCACCCUUUAAUGUUUGAUGUUCUAACGUUGGCCCCUUACCGGGGUUGCGGACAGUGUCUGGUGGGUAGUUUGACUGGGGCGGUCUCCUCCCAAAGCGUAACGGAGGAGCACGAAGGUUAGCUAAUCCUGGUCGGACAUCAGGAGGUUAGUGCAAUGGCAUAAGCUAGCUUGACUGCGAGCGUGACGGCGCGAGCAGGUGCGAAAGCAGGUCAUAGUGAUCCGGUGGUUCUGAAUGGAAGGGCCAUCGCUCAACGGAUAAAAGGUACUCCGGGGAUAACAGGCUGAUACCGCCCAAGAGUUCAUAUCGACGGCGGUGUUUGGCACCUCGAUGUCGGCUCAUCACAUCCUGGGGCUGAAGUAGGUCCCAAGGGUAUGGCUGUUCGCCAUUUAAAGUGGUACGCGAGCUGGGUUUAGAACGUCGUGAGACAGUUCGGUCCCUAUCUGCCGUGGGCGCUGGAGAAUUGAGGGGGGCUGCUCCUAGUACGAGAGGACCGGAGUGGACGCAUCACUGGUGUUCGGGUUGUCAUGCCAAUGGCACUGCCCGGUAGCUAAAUGCGGAAGAGAUAAGUGCUGAAAGCAUCUAAGCACGAAACUUGCCCCGAGAUGAGUUCUCCCUGAGACUUUAAGUCUCCUGAAGGAACGUUAAAGACGAUGACGUUGAUAGGCCGGGUGUGUAAGCGCAGCGAUGCGUUGAGCUAACCGGUACUAAUGAACCGUGAGGCUUAACCUU